rnacentral:tRNA from 1 species
GGAAGGGUGGCAGAGCGGUUGAAUGCAACGGUCUUGAAAACCGUCGAUGGGCAACCAUCCGUGGGUUCAAAUCCCACCCCUUCCGCCA